UGCUGAUCAAGUGAGUACUCCAUCAAAGGCAUACUGUAGGCCUGGCAUGUCUUGUCUACUAGCUUCAAUAUGAAUCCGAUUAAAUGUGAUAGGGUGAAGGCCCCAGUGCAGCAGCAACAGCACAUGAUGGAGACGAUGAUGAGGAGGAGACCAUCUCUCUGGAUUCCAGAAGGCAUGAGGACCCAGAUGCUAUACAGUGGGAAAACCAGCCUGGCAACAUAGUGCGUAUUAAUAAAAGGACACCACAUCCUGCCAAAUUCCAGCUGCGCUAAUUGUAUUGUGUUCACAGAGCUCACAAGCUAUCAGAAAGUUGUAUGGCAACCACCUCUGGCGCCAAAUAGAACUGGCAGACAUAGACAUUCAGUACAAGAAGAAAAAGAUGGAAAAUCUUGCACUGGAGUCCGAAAUAAAAAAGAGGACAAUUAGGAAACUGGACCUUGAAAUAAAAAACUUGAGAGGGAGCUCCAAGAAGAUGACACAGCUCAAAAUAAAAAUUAGCAAUCAGUACAACCAAGUCAUCGUUAUAAGGCAUCGCCCUCUUUUGCCCACCCCCCCAGCAUCAGGUGUGGCCACUAGCCUAUAUGAAGGCCCAAAAUUGUGUGUUCCUUUCUGCUCUGACAAUGGCAUGCCCAUUCGUGCGAGAUGUGGUGGAUGAAGAAGCACUUGUGCUGAGGAGAGCCUUCAGGCGAGAAAGGGUCUUCAGGGACCGGUUGGACCCACUGGCCUUCCCUGAUGACCAUCUAUAUGAAAGAUACAGGUUUUCUGCAGAUGGCAUCAGGUAUCUAUGCAGACUACUGGGUCCCAGGAUUAAGCACCGCACUGCACGGAGCCAUGCACUGAGUGUGGAGCAAAUGGUUUGUGUGGCCUUGCGCUUUUUGCUAGUGGAGCCUUCCUGUACUCAGUGGGGGAUGCAGAACAGCUGAACAAGGCCACAAUUUGCCGCACAAUAAGGAGUGUGUGUCUGGCUAUCAAAGCAUUAGCAGAUGUCUUCAUCUCCUUCCCUGGCCACAGAAGACUCUGUGACAUCAAAGAGGAGUUCUAUAGGAUUGCAGAUGGUCUGCAAUGCUGACUGUGUGAUCAGCAAUGUUGUGGCAAAAUGGCCUGGCUCAGUCCAUGACUCCAGAAUCUUUCGGGCCUCUGAAAUCUAUCAGUGCCUAUCACAAGGUGAAUUCUCUGGUGUGUUGCUGGGAGACAGGGGUAUGGCUGCCAGCCUUUUCUCCUGACACCUUUCACAGACCCCCAGGAAGCACAGCAGGCCUACAACCAUGCCCAUGCCAGGACCAGGGCCAGAGUUGAAAUGACCUUUGGCCUCCUGAAGGCACGCUUUCACUGCCUUCACAAAUUAAGGGUCAGCCCUGUUAGGGCAUGUGAUAUUACUGUGGCUUGUGCUGUCCUCCACAAUGUGGCCUGCCUGAGGAAGGAGAGGGCCCCCAGAGUGCCACCAGCCAUGGACUGGGACAAUCCGGCAAUCUUCCCUGAUGACGACAGUGGUCGGCUGCUGAGGGACCAAUAUGUGUUGAAUUAUUUUAGUUAGUAUGUGUGCUUUCAAUUUUGGUUAAAUAUGUCCUGCGGUGGCAGAGGAAUUUGGUUUUUUUGGGUUCGUUUUUUGACGAAUUUGGCCUCUUAUGAUGUUUGUGCGGUAUACUGUGUGUAAUACAAGGCUGCAGGGAGGCUACUGCAUCCAUUCAUUUGUCUGUUCAGUUGAUGUGUAUGGAUUUGUCCUGCAUUUAUUUUAGUGUGCAGACAUGCAGGGUGUGUUAUAUACAGACCUUUGAAUGUGUAUGUAUCAUUUUGUAUAAUAUGCUUGGAUUCUGUGCUUUCCAUCUUGUAGAGUCACUGUGACUUCAGUUUCGAAAGGAGCUGAUGGUUUACCUGCUUUGUUUUGUCCUUAUUCAAUAAAGGAACAUAAUGUUA